rnacentral:rRNA from 1 species
AUACGGAGGGUGCGAGCGUUAAUCGGAAUUACUGGGCGUAAAGCGCGCGUAGGCGGUUCGAUAAGUCUGAUGUGAAAGCCCUGGGCUUAACCUGGGAAUGGCAUUGGAUACUGUUGAACUAGAGUGCGGGAGAGGAGAGUGGAAUUCUCGGUGUAGCGGUGAAAUGCGUAGAUAUCGGGAGGAACACCAGUGGCGAAGGCGGCUCUCUGGACUGACUCUGACGCUGAGGUGCGAAAGCGCGGGUAGCAAACAGGAUUAGAAACCCCGGUAGUCC